GUUUAGUUUCACUUCAUCACCACUUUUCUCCAAAGGGUUAUUGCAACUAUGUUUUCCCUCGUUUCAUAAGCAGUAGUUCGAUGACAUUUUUAACCCCAUUAUCUUUCUAACAAAACCUUACUUUCAAAGAAAUUAAGUUUCAUAAACAAGAGAGAUGCUAAUACAAUAAUGCCCACUCUUUUGCAUUGGAAUAUUAGUCCUACUAUUGAAUUAGUUCUACAUACAAAUUUCAUAGCAGAGCCCUAAAUCCUUAACACUGAAGCAUUGUGCCAUGAUUACAUCAAACUGAUACUAAAGUAAUUCAAUAUAUCAAUAAUGU
rnacentral:lncRNA from 1 species